rnacentral:rRNA from 1 species
GGGAAGAACACAAUGACGGUACCUGAGGAAUAAGCAUCGGCUAACUCCGUGCCAGCAGCCGCGGUAAUACGGGGGAUGCAAGCGUUAUCCGGAAUGAUUGGGCGUAAAGAGUCCGUAGGUAGUCAUCCAAGUCUGCUGUUAAAGAGCGAGGCUUAACCUCGUAAAGGCAGUGGAAACUGGAAGACUAGAGUGUAGUAGGGGCAGAGGGAAUUCCUGGUGUAGCGGUGAAAUGCGUAGAGAUCAGGAAGAACACCGG